UAUCAAUAUCCAAAUGCACCAAGGUGUGGCGCUCAGCGAGAGAGAUGUGGGGCUGUUGGAGAGAAGACCUUCAAGAAUCGAGGAGCCUCCCAAAGUGCUGGGAUUAUGAGCAUAAGCCAUGGUGCCAGGCUCCCCAGGGAAGUUAGGAAGUCUGGAGACGUUCACACAGCUGGAUUCCUCUGCUAUGACACAAACCAACGGUGUGCGGCAUCUACCUCAGCCAUUCCUCUUGGCCC